rnacentral:rRNA from 1 species
UACGAAGGGGGCGAGCGUUGUUCGGAUUUACUGGGCGUAAAGGGCGCGUAGGCGGCGCGAGAAGUCGAGUGUGAAAGCCCCGGGCUCAACCUGGGAAUUGCGCUCGAUACUCUUGUGCUUGAGUUCGGGAGAGGAGCGUGGAAUUCCCAGUGUAGAGGUGAAAUUCGUAGAUAUUGGGAAGAACACCCGUGGCGAAGGCGGUUCUCUGGGACGGUACUGACGCUGAGACGCGAAAGCGUGGGGAGCGAACAGG